rnacentral:lncRNA from 1 species
CUGCACAGUUGAUGUGUCUCACAGUUCCUGACUAAGCAGAGCAAAUUCAGAUGUUGGGAUGAGUGACUGAUCCCAGUGCCCCUCUGUUUAUCCAAGCCUCUGCUGACCAAAGCAUGGAAGGAAGGCAAGGUGGGUGAGCUGUGAGCCACCCAUGGCUGUUUUACCCUCUCAAAUGGCACCUGAGGAAACUUCAGUUGUGUCUAAAAAUAUUAUAGUAUAAGCCCACUGCACAUCACAGGAGCUGUUGUAUGUUAUUCAUCUUCAUCUUGAUGCCCAUAUUGUCAGUAUUUGUUUUUUGUCUGUCACUUUUGCUUGACAAGAAGAUGUCAAGUUGGUAUUUAAUGCAGCCUUGAGAAUGUUUAUUGAGUAUUGUGGCAUUACUUUAAUGUUCAUGGAGUGCUGGGCUGCAGAGCAGCGCUGUGGAUCAGAUGAGAGCAAACCCCAGCAGCAGAGGCACAAAGUGCAGCUUCGUGCCUGAUGUUUCUCACCACAAACUGCUCUGUGGUGGUGGCAAACUCAGGCUGGCCAGGCAGCCCAGCAGCCAUGAGCAAUCCCUGCUGAAACACAGAAUAUAUCGAGUUCUCCAGGGAGUGCCCAAGGCCCUGCCCAAGUCACAGAUGUUGGUGCUAGCUCUGGAGUUUCCAGCUGGAUGGCUCAGCCUUGGAACCCUUGACGAAGACACAACACCUUGGAGCCAGAUGUCAGCAAAAUGUCCCCAGGUGACUUUGAGCAAAGACAAAUUGCUGACCAGCAGCCUUGUGGGGGCGCAUGCACAGGUGGUGGCCCCAUACUUCAGUGAUGUGUGUGCAGUUUUGGAUGCCAAAAUAGAAGAAAGAUAUAAAAUGAUUGGAGAAUGUCCAGGGCAAGGCUAUGAAGAUGGUGGAGGCCUCAAGCAGAUGCCACCAGGUGACUGGCUCAGGGCACCUGGUCUGUUCAGCUGGAGAAGACUGAGGGGAGACCUCCUUGCAGUCUGCAGCUUCCUCAUGAGAGCAAUCUUCCAAGAUGCUGCUUAGCACUAUCCCAGCCUAUUUCCUAAUUCCAUGCAUUCAAAGGAUCUUUCCUAUCAGUCAUGAGCUCUGGAAAUACAAGUUUGUUCUGCAAUCAAGACAGUUCUCCUUUUCUAUUGGGUUUGCAUGGCAAAAAGGGAAAAAAAUUCAGAGAGAAGCUGAGCCCAGGAAGAAGGUGGGAGGAUGGGGGACUGGGAAAGGUUUUAAGAUUUUGUUUUAUUUCUCAUUAUCCUACUCUG